UCAUUCGAUCAUCCACAAAGCAACGUUCCAACAAUGAAGUUCAUGUGACUGGUAAUUCGCAAAAAAAUAUCUGUCAAGUGUGUUGCACCUUUCACCAAUCAGCAGAGGCCAUUAUGUGGGAAUUUGCGUAGGAAAAUGAGUGGAAUGCAAGUCACAGAAGUUUGGAAUUGUAUUGCUGGGCAUGACUGGGCAAAAACAAUCACCUUUGCUCUGCUUUGUGUGUUCGUGGAUCACCACCAAGCCUGGAAAGAUGUGCGUCCCUGACUGAAGAACAAUCUACCAGAAGGAAGACAGCAAAUAGAUACUAACAAUCUUAAAGUGUGAGAUGAUGCCCUGCACCGUAGCGACACCUGGUGGUGGCCAUGCAGAUCGCACAAUUUUCAAAAGAAGACCUGAGGCAAGUAAACCUGCUUUAAGAACUCUUUAAGAGAGAAGGGAGGGAGAGCUGGUAGUUUCAUUUCUCUAUUGAUCCUUAGGAUGUUGUUGUAACAUAUAAUAGGAGAAGUACCUUAUACAAGAGAAUAAACUUUCUGGAAUUGAAAAUAUUGCUUUAUU